CUCUGCAACAACAGCUGGUAGAAAAGGCCGAUGUUUGCCUCUACCAGCUUUGCUUCCUUGCCGUUUGAAAGACCUCUUCUUCCGGAAGAUAGAUUUUGGGAUCACUUGAGUUCUCCUUGGCUGGUAACACUGGAAAAUUUUUAUCAGGGAAGACCGGUUUUGCUUCCUCUUUUUCGACCAGUAACUGUACACAGCCUCUACAAUCUCUUUCUUUUCCUUAUUCGGGCAACUACUAACAGCAGCUUUCUCAUCAGAGUAAUCAUCUGGAUUACAAUAGAAGCCUUUCUCAAAAUGAUCAAUCAGCAACUCGAAGCUGUCAGUUGAAAGGUGAUCAUUUUCCAGACUAGGCUGAUCAUUAAAGUUUCUCAGCCAUUCUUCAUCAUCACCAUCCAUGUCAUAGUUAGCUGUACUCCUUGCUAAUGCCCUUGCUAGUUCAUCAUCUUUAA
rnacentral:misc_RNA from 1 species